UGAGGAACAUGACCUUCGGCGGGGGAUAGCCGGCCCAACGGCCGGGUAAUACCGCGUACGACCACUUUGGGACAUCCCUCGGUGGUGAAAGCAGCAAUGCGCCGAUGGAGUGCCUCGCGGCCUAUCAGCUAGUUGGUGAGGUAACGGCUCACCAAGGCGACGACGGGUAGCUGGUCUGAGAGGAUGGCCAGCCACACUGGGACUGAGACACGGCCCAGACUCCGUACGGGGAGUAG
rnacentral:rRNA from 1 species